rnacentral:rRNA from 1 species
GGACGACGCUGGCGGCGUGCUUAACACAUGCAAGUCGAACGGUAAGGCCCUUCGGGGUACACGAGUGGCGAACGAGUGAGUAACACGUGGGUGAUCUGCCCUGCACUUCGGGAUAAGCCUGGGAAACUGGGUCUAAUACCGGAUAGGACCAUGGACUUCACGGUUUGUGGUGGAAAGCUUUUGCGGUGUGGGAUGGGCCCGCGGCCUAUCAGCUUGUUGGUGGGGUAAUGGCCUACCAAGGCGACGACGGGUAGCCGGCCUGAGAGGGUGUCCGGCCACACUGGGACUGAGAUACGGCCCAGACUCCUACGGGAGGCAGCAGUGGGGAAUAUUGCACAAUGGGCGCAAGCCUGAUGCAGCGACGCCGCGUGAGGGAUGACGGCCUUCGGGUUGUAAACCUCUUUCAAUAGGGACGAAGCGCAAGUGACGGUACCUAUAGAAGAAGCACCGGCCAACUACGUG